rnacentral:pre_miRNA from 1 species
CAACACUAAAAAGUCUCUAACACAGUUGAAAUUUUUAUUUUCCGCAAAUAAAAAUUUCAGCUGUGUUAGAGACUUUUUAGUGUUG